UGAACCUGCGGAAGGAUCAUUU
rnacentral:rRNA from 4 species